rnacentral:lncRNA from 1 species
AGCCCACAAAGAUCUCCGCCACGGCACAACCCAAGGGGGGCGCCAACCCAGACAGGAAGACCACGUCAGUGACUCAACACACUCAAGUGACGCACCCCCCCUAGGGACGGCAUGGAAGAACACCAAUAAGCCAGUGACUUAGCCCCUGUAAUAGGGUUAGAGGCAGAGAAUCCCAGUGGAGAGAGGGGAACCAGGCAGAGACAGAAAGGACUGUUCGUUGCUCCAGAAACCUUUCUGUUCACCUUCACACUCCUGGGCCAGACUACACUCAAUCAUAGGAUCCACUGAAGAGAUGAGUCUUCAGUAAAGACUUAAAGGUUGAGACCGAGUCUGCGUCUCUCACAUGGUUAGGCAGACCAUUCCAUAAAAAUGGAACUCUACAGGAGAAUGCCCUGCCUCCAGCUGUUUGCUUAGAAAUUCUAUGGACAAUUAGGAGGCCUGCGUCUUGUGACCGUCAUGUACGUGUAGACAGGACAAGGUUGAAGUGAGUAAGCAAUGUUCAAGCUAUCCCGAGGGCAGAUAUGCAGAGAACUGUGCUGCCUUCCAGAUAAAAAAAACAAAUAUAGUGUAACAAGGGUCGUAUAAAGGGGACCAAGGCGCGGCGUGUAGAGUGCUCAUACUUUUCUUUAAUGAAACACUUAACCAAAAAACAACAAAACGACAACCAACAGUUCCGUCAGGUACACUUGACAAAACGGAAAACAACUACCCACAAAAACACAUGAAAACAGGCUGCCUAAGUAUGGCUUCCAAUCAGAGACAACGAUAGACAGCUGCCUCUGAUUGGAAACCAUACCUGGCCAAAACAUAGAAAAUGAAAACAUAGAAUUCCCACCCACCUAUCACACCCUGACCUAACUAAACAAGAAAAACACAGCUCUCCUAGGUCAGAGUGUGACAUAUAGUUACCCUUUUCUUGCUAAAGAUGAGCUUAGUUAAAUGUGGAUUCCCGAUUUGGCCUGUGCUGCUGGCUAAUUAUUUGGCUAUGUUAGCAAAACGGUUGCUAUAUGCAAUGGCUAAAACAGUUUAGCUAACACUUACUUGGAGAGCAUAUAGAUUGAUGAAUCAGAAUACAGC